rnacentral:rRNA from 1 species
GAAUAUUGCACAAUGGGCGAAAGCCUGAUGCAGCGACGCCGCGUGAGGGAUGAAGGCUUUCGAGUUGUAAACCUCUUUCAGUGGGGACGAAGCGCAAGUGACGGUACCCACAGAAGAAGCCCCGGCCAACUACGUGCCACCAGCCGCGGUAAUACGUAGGGGGCGAGCGUUGUCCGGAUUUACUGGGCGUAAAGAGCUCGUAGGCGGCUUGGCAAGUCGGCCGUGAAAAUCCGAGGCUCAACCACGGGAGGCCGGUCGAAACUGCCAUGGCUUGGGUCCGGUAGAGGAGAGUGGAAUUCCCGGUGUAGCGGUGAAAUGCGCAGAUAUCGGGAGGAACACCAGUAGCGAAGGCGGCUCUCUGGGCCGGUACCGACGCUGAGGAGCGAAAGCGUGGGGAGCAAACAGG